CCCUUAGAUGUUCUGGGCCGCACGCGCGCCACACUGUUCGACGCAGCGAGUCUUAACCUUGACCGAAAGGUUUGGGUAAUCUUCAGCAAAGUCGAACGUGAUGGGGAUCGAUCAUUGCAAUUAUUGAUCGUGAACGAGGAAUUCCUAGUAAGUGCAAGUCAUCAGCUUGCGCUGAUUACGUCCCUGCCCUUUGUACACACCGCCCGUCGCUGCAACUGAUUGGGUGACCUGGUGAACAUCUUGGACCGGCCCACUCAAUUUCGAGAGGACUGGAAAAGGCCGUAAAUCAGGUACAUCUAGAAAUUGCAAAAGUCGUAACA
rnacentral:rRNA from 1 species